GACGAACGCUGGCGGCGUGCCUAAUACAUGCAAGUAGGACGCAGUUGCGAACGGGUGAGUAACGCGUAGGUAACUACCUAUUAGAGGGGGAUAACUAUUGGAAACGAUAGCUAAUACCGCAUACUAGUAGAUGGACCUGCGUUGUAUUAGCUAGUAGGUAGGGUAAUGGCCUACCUAGGCAACGAUACAUAGCCUACCUGCGAUGGGUAUCCGCCACACUGUGACUGGAACACGGCCCAGACUCCUACGGGAGGCAGCAGUAGGGAAUCUUCGUCAAUGGUGGGAACCCUGACCGUGCCACGUCGCGUGAGUGUAGAAGAUUUGCGCAUCGUAAAGCUCUGUUGUUAAGGAAGCGGUACUUAACCAGAAAGGGACGGCUAACUACGUGCCAGCAGCCGCGGUAAUUC
rnacentral:rRNA from 1 species